AUAAAUGAAUUGUAAUAAGAUUUUUAUCGGAUAUGAUCUUUUAGCCAUAUUGCCUACCCCUACUAUUAUUAUUAUAAUAGUCGCUCUGGCAGAAAUAUCUGGUGUUCGCUACUGUCUAUGGGUGUUGUGUUCUUGCUCCAUUUAAUUUCGUGUUGCAGCCACAGCCACAGGCUGGCAGCAACAGCACGAACUCAUUCGGAAUAUUUUGAAGGCGUAACAGCUGAAUAUUCUAUCUCACGAUGAAAAAGUAGAGACGAUUGUAGACGAAAAUGAAGAGAGAUUUUAUCUUAGUUUUUAUUUUAUGCAAAACAUUUUAGUCUCGUCUUAUUUCGUCAAACAACAAUGCAUGUUCAUUUCGUCUUAGUCAGCGUUUUUUGGACAUUGGUGCAGUCUCGUCAUCGUCUCGUCUUAGCCAUGGAAAAAAAGGUUAUUGACGAACAUAUUUAGUCUCGUCUCGUCUGACGAAAUUAACACUAUCACGAACCCAUCCCCGUGAGCAUGUUUUCCCUGUCUGUCUGGUUUGUUUUUGUGUUUUGUGUUUUACGUUCCUGACUGUACCCCGUUCCGGUUGCUGGGCAACGAGCGCAAGGCGGAAAUUCCAGGAUCACCUGAACCUGCUCUCACCUGAUCCUCAUCAGCAAUCGACACACCUGUUCCUGAUCAUCAUCACUACCACCAUCAUCCAGUCCCUGCCGGAUCGUUAGCCAUACUUUACCUUCACCCUGGAAUUCCCUUCACCCCGGCCUGGCAACCAGAACCAUCAACUUCGUCGUUCCAUCAAGACUCCUGUUCACCAGUACUCACCUCCCAACACGUUCGUCACCACCAUCAGCAUUCCAUCACCCGGACUCACCUGUUUACACGCCUGGCAUUACUUUUUCAAGUAUAUUUAUGUCAUCAAUAAAUACUCACCUUUUUUCACCACC